CACAGAAAAUUCCCAAAUGUCACUCGAUAGUAUUUUAUUCCAUUCUUCAACACGAUGCUGUUAGCGCAACAAGCGUCCAAGUGUUUCCGCAGCUAAUGGCAAACCAUCACACCUCUUGACAAUCUUUCUACCUAUUUCUUCCAGUUCCGAGCUCCCAUUUGAUUCAGGAAAGGAUGCAUUGUCUGCAAAAAUAGACCAACAAUAAUCGUCUGACAGUUCCU